AUACGGAGGGAACAAGCGUUAUUCGGAAUCACUGGGCGUAAAGGACGCGUAGGCGGGUUAUUAAGUCGGGUGUGAAAUCCAAUGGCUCAACCAUUGAACUGCAUUCGAAACUGAUAACCUAGAGUAUGGAAGGGGCAGGUGGAAUUAGUGGUGUAGGAGUAAAAUCCGUAGAUAUCACUAGGAAUACCGAAAGCGAAGGCGACCUGCUGGGACAUUACUGACGCUGAGGCGUGAAAGCGUGGGGAGCAAACAGGAUUAGAAACCCUAGUAGUCC
rnacentral:rRNA from 1 species